rnacentral:misc_RNA from 1 species
GUUGGUUUUGGAUUUGGUGCAUUGGUCUGUUCAUUGCGCAAGAUCCCAACAUUGUAAACAGGGCUAAAAUCUGGCCUGAACAAACCCCAAUUCCUCUCGGCAGAAGUUCCAGGUUUCAGAUUCUCAUUAAAUAAGGCAAAAAGAUACGUCUCGAACCUCCGGUUUGGCAUCAACGGAGUACCUUUCCCUGAAGUGACAUGCUUGAUCAAAUUCCCAUUAUAAGCAAUCGCAUUCUCCACCGUACAAGCCGGCUGGUUCGGGUCACCGGCGGAGGGCCAACCGGUCUCAGCCA